AUUGAACGCUGGCGGCAGGCUUAACACAUGCAAUUCGCGCGAGCGGCGGACGGGUGAGUAAUGUCUGGGAAACUGCCUGAUGGAGGGGGAUAACUACUGGAAACGGUAGCUAAUACCGCAUACCAUCAGAUGGGCCCAGAUGGGAUUAGCUAGUAGGUGGGGUAAUGGCUCACCUAGGCGAAGAUCCCUAGCUGGUCUGAGAGGAUGACCAGCAACACUGGAACUGAGACACGGUCCAGACUCCUACGGGAGGCAGCAGUGGGUAAUAUUGCACAAUGGGCGAAAGCCUGAGUCAGCCAUGCCGCGUGUGUGAGGAAGGCCUUCGGGUUGUAAAGCACUUUCAGCGAGGAGGCGUUACUCGCAGAAGAAGCACCGGCUAACUCCGUGACAGCAGCCGCGGUAAUAC
rnacentral:rRNA from 1 species